UACGGGGGGGGCAAGCGUUGUUCGGAAUUACUGGGCGGAAAGGGCUCGUAGGUGGCCAACUAAGUCAGACGUGAAAUCCCCGGGCUCAACCCGGGAACUGCGUCCGAUACUGGCAGGCUUGAAUCCGGGAGAGGGAUGUGGAAUUCCAGGUGUAGCGGUGAAAUGCGUAGAUAUCUGGAGGAACACCGGUGGCGAAGGCGGCAUCCUGGACCGGUAUUGACGCUGAUGCGCGAAAGCCGGGGGAGCAAACGGG
rnacentral:rRNA from 1 species